rnacentral:rRNA from 1 species
UACGAAGGGGGGCUAGCGUUGUUCGGAAUUACUGGGCGUAAAGGGCGCGUAGGCGGCGUGUCAAGUCAGGCGUGAAAGCCCCGGGCUCAACCUGGGAACCGCGCUUGAGACUGGCAUGCUCGAGUUCGGGAGAGGAUGGUGGAAUUCCCAGUGUAGAGGUGAAAUUCGUAGAUAUUGGGAUGAACACCGAUGGCGAAGGCAGCC